GAAGGGACAAGGAUGUCCGAAGGAAAACCAGCACAAACAGAUUCCUCGCAAGAAAAGACGGAAACACCUACCUCCAAUGAUGACCAAGGGCCCAUGGUGGCGACAUGCAUUGCAGCUGGGAUAUUGCUGCCGGCUUCUGCGGCAGCUUCUCCGUUUGUGCCGGUGGUGGCAGCUGGAUUAGGAGCAGCUGGGCUGGGAGCGCUGACCGGAUGCAUUGCUAUGGCGCAAAAGAAGUAGCAGGCACUCAAAACACCAGUAUCUGCGACUGGCACGCCAAGCCUGCCUGCGCCAAAAAAGGACUUGUGGCUUAUUUUGUGGAUCUGCACAAAGUACUUUACCAGUAGUUGUUACGCUUUGGCCAAGGAGGGAUAUCUUCUUGAAAUAAAAUAUAUCUUUCAGCAGUA